UCUCAACCUUCUUCCGUGAUUAUAUUUUCCUCAAAUAUUUUGUUGAAACGCAAAUUUCAGCAAUGGAUAGACUCCCAAAAUGUGAAGCCAAUUUUGUACCUCUUACUCCACUCACUUUCUUGAAAAGAGCCUCUAUGGUUUAUUCGAACCGCACCUCUAUAAUAUAUGGUGGCGUCCGGUUCACAUGGCAGCAAACUUAUGAGAGGUGUUGCCGCCUUGCUUCUGCUCUCCGAUCGCUUAAUGUAAUCUCUCUCUCUCUCUCUCUCUCUCUCGAAAAUAGUGAUAUAUUUAUACAUCUUGAGUGUUUAACAACCUUAUUAUAUUUUUAGCGUUUAACAACCUUGUUAUUGGAUUGAAGUAUUUCUUUUAGACAGAUGGAUUAAAGCAUAUUAUGCAGAGAUUUUAGGAAGCCUAAAAGGAAAAUAUAAUUAAUAAGACGACUUUCAGCAAAGUGCGGAAGUCAAGUAGCCCCACGUAACGUGAAAUUCAUGUAUUAUAGUACAGUAAUUCAAGUCAAAGUUUUGGUUCAUACUCUCAAGUAUAGUUUGUUUAGUGUUUGAUAAUAACCAUAGAAACUUCCCUUUCAACUUCCCCCCAACUUGGGUCGUAAUUUAUUGUCAUUUGCACACAAUUUUGUGUAUAAAUAUGUGGUUCUUCUCUUAGUUCUUUACCUGUAAACACAUAUUCUUUUCACGUCUCGACCCUCUUCUGUGACUAUAUUUUCCUCAAAUAUUUUGUUAAAACGCAAAUUUCAGCAAUGGAUAGACUCCCAAAAUGUGAAGCCAAUUUUGUACCUCUUACUCCACUCACUUUCUUGAAAAGAGCCUCUAUGGUUUAUUCGGACCACACCUCUAUAAUAUAUGGUGGCGUCCGGUUCACAUGGCAGCAAACUUAUGAGAGGUGUUGCCGCCUUGCUUCUGCUCUCCGAUCGCUUAAUGUUGUCAAGAAUAACG
rnacentral:lncRNA from 1 species